UACAGAGGCCCCGAGCGUUAUUCGGAAUUACUGGGCUUAAAGGGUGCGUAGGCGGGCGCGUAAGUGUUCUGUGAAAUCCCCGGGCUCAACCCGGGAACCGCAGGGCAUACUGCGCGUCUCGAGGAAGCUAGAGGCCGGUGGAACGAUCGGUGGAGCGGUGGAAUGCGUAGAGAUCGAUCGGAACGCCAAGGGUGAAAACAGGUAGCUGGGGCUGUGCUGACACUGAGACACGAAAGCCAGGGGAGCAAACGGG
rnacentral:rRNA from 1 species